AGUGAAGUAGCUCAGUCGUCUCCGACUCUUUGCGACCCCAAGGACCGCAGCCCAGCAGGCUCCUCCAUCCAUGGGAAUUUCCAGGCAAGAGUACUGGAGUGGGGUGCCAUCGCCUUCUCCGAAAUAUGCGUACUAGAAGGCAUUUCAUCAAUUUUCCUUUCAGAAGUUUCUCUGAAGGAGAAUGACUGCAGGGAGCACUCCAUAGUUAAAACUGGUGGAAAAUGGAUAUUUUAGCAUGAAUCGUGAGAUGAAGGUUGAUGGUUAGAACAUUACAGUUCUUAGCAAUGUAUAUAUGCUUGUUAAUAAUGAUGUGAUGUGACAUUAUUUGAACUGAAUGUAAUUCACCACUCAAAUAAUCCACGUUAUGCUUUCUUUCUAGUGUGUUUGCAAACAUAGGUUUUUGAUGUUUUAUUAAAGAUUAGCCUUUUUAUGUUGUGUUGCAACCAUUUCUAUCUAAUCUCCAUUAGAAGAUUGAGGAUAGCAUAAUGUAAAAUGGACAAUGAACAUUUAAAUAGAGGUAUUUGUCGUUGACGUGAAAUAUCUGGAGGUUGCCAUGAAGUAAGUGAUCAUUUAAUCUUUCCGUGUAUUAAAGAAAGACAGAAGUUCGUUGUAAUGUUUCAAUAGUAAUAUCCUUCAUUUGUAAGAAGAACACAAUGACAGUUCACUGCAAUAUUGAUGUAUCUUUAUAAUAUCAACACAAGUCAUGAUUACUACUUGACAGUGUUGAAAUAAGGACAGUAAUAACCUAGAAACGUAAGAAACCUUUCCUGGAAAAGGCAUGGAAUUGGUGCAUAUCAUGCUUGCUAAGUGCUUCCUAGUCUUUGUUUGGUAAGCCAUGGAAAUCAGAAAUCUCACAUCGUUCUAUCAACAAAGGAAUAUCUUUCUCCGUACUUUUGAUCUGUAUUUAAUCAUGGAUCAUACCGCGGAUUGUAAAAGGUUUUAUUUCAACUAUGUGUGAAAUUUAAUACAUGGUUAUUCAUAAAAGUGAAUGGCUUUUAUUGUUUCGGUUGUUGUAAUGUAUGAAAUGUUAACCCACCACCAACAGCAACCUCGCCCACCUUAUUUAAGGUUGUAGUGAAGAGACCGCAAUUAACUGUUCGGUAACACACAAAGAUGGCAUAUGGGGAAAUUAGUUUACUCACUGGAUUUAAACUUCUCAUAACUUCAUGUACAUUCCAUCAUUUCUAGGUUGUAUCUCCUCUCUCAUUUUGUAACUGCUUAGACACUGGGAUGAUUCUAGUAAGAAAGAUGAUACAGAGUAUUGUUGACAGUUUCCCUAAACUGCUCCAUGAUGUUGCUGCCUCAGCAUCUGUCUGGGGAUCAGGCAGCCUGCAGGUCCUUGAGCUCACACCAGCCAGUCUUGUGAGCACAUGCACUAGAUGAACCCCUUCCUUGAGACCAGCAGUCUUGCUGGACCUCAGGGUCUAUCCACAGACCCCCGUUCAAUCACACUGAGAGAGUCAAUUUCUUGGCAGGUUGAUAAGUCCAGGGGUCCCCAAGGAGAGAGGGGUCUGGAAUUCUCAAGGAGGAAGAAAGGACAAACGUGGUUUUUUCCUGUUUGAGGACACUCUGGAAAAAAACUUUCUGGCUAAUCUUAUUGUCUUAAAAUGUAAAUUAUGGGAGUGGGCCUAGUGAGGUCUUUACAACCUCCAGACAGUCUUUUGAUUCACUGGAAUAACUAAAUAAUAGUAUGUAACUCCUUUGCUAACACUAGCGAGGGGGCACUCUUUCUGCCCCUUCUGAAGUCUAUGUCAGAAGCUUUCUCUAUUCUCUUUUAUACUUUAAUAAAACUUUAUUACACAAAAGCUCUGAGCGAUCAAGCCUCAUCUCUGGCUCCAGAUUGAAUUCUUCUCCUCAGGAGGCCAAGAAUCCAGGGGUCUUUUUUGGUUGAACAACAACCUUUCAACACGCUCACAGUGCUCACCGGAAUCCUUGACUUGGUUUGAAUGAAUUAACCCACACUCAGCCUAGAGAGCCUGAGGCACUUCACUCAGGGUAAAGUAUAAAAGCUGAACUCCAAGUACUCCUGUUUUCUCUGCCUGAUUCUAGCUUUAACCUCUCUCAGAAAUUCCUGCCCUAAAUCGUCCCCUACAGAGAGGUCUUAGGUGUGGUGAGUGUGAGAUUUUGAGCUCAGGACUCCGGAACGUUGGUUUCGGGGAAGAAACAUCAGAAAAAAUGGGAUUUGCUGAUGACUCCUUUCACGGCCCGACUGUAGACCUGCAGAUUCAUAAGUUCUUGGAGUGGGAACCUGACCACCAGGGAUUUGUAUUCAUUGAAAUGGUUCAGAAAGAAUCUCUAGCCAAGUGGUUUCCUUCUGGUUUCCCAUCAGGAUUACGUGACCCGUUUCAGAAAUGACCUCACUGAUGCCCUCCCAACAGAGUUCUAUGUGGUCCUGUGGGAGCAUCAGUGUGGUUUGUAGGAAGUGUUCCAGGAGAUUCUAAGCAGAGGCCCGGGUUAAGGACGUGGCUCCUGGUCCAUCUGGUCCAUCUUAGAGCUGAGCCCCGGAGUCAGUCUGAGGAGAGGCAGCAGGGUUGGUCUAGCUGGAUUUGGACCGGGGAAGUCAGUCAGCUCACAUCAUCUGUGUGAGCAGAGUGUUAGGAGCUCUCUAUGGGGAAAGAACAAUCAAGAAAUGAGUUCACAGGCUGGUCUCUAGGUAGGAAUUGAUUGUCCCUGAAUCUCUCCUGAGACAGAGGACAGGAGAGGUCGGUCUUCUCAGCUUUUCAAAAUCCUUGUGUUUGUAGGAGCGGUGGUUGCAGGUUAGAAAGUUGUGUUGAUGCCCUCCAAGGUAUUUUCUCAAAACUCAGAAGUGCGUUUGCCGCGUAAUAUCCCCAGAGAAGACAGAGCAGGAGGAAGAAGGGGAGGAAAUGGCAGCUCAGGUCUUGUGGGCUCUAAGCUGGACCUCAUUACCUUUCUGGAGCAACUGAGCAAUCCCAGGACUAUAAGGAGAAUGGAGGCAACAGCCAUAUUCCCAGGCAGGUAUGAAUGGCUGGAGAUGAUGACUCAGAUAAGAGGUCCAAGGAGCUAGAGGAAGUCAUCCUUUGUCAGGUGGUUUUGGAAGAUCAUCUUCAGUGGAAAUGAUUUUGGAAAACCUGGGUUUGUGUCCACUGCUGUCAUAGAAAUGUACCACCUGCCCUAGUCUGUCUCUUAAAUCAUUCAUAAAUUCAUCUCCAGUGAUUACUUUCCUUCAUCACAGUGUGAACUAAAAGUCUCCUCUUGUCUUGUGA